rnacentral:rRNA from 1 species
CAGUCGCCGCGGUAAUACGUAGGGUGCGAGCGUUAAUCGGAAUUACUGGGCGUAAAGCGUGCGCAGGCGGUUGUGUAAGACAGGUGUGAAAUCCCCGGGCUUAACCUGGGAACUGCGCUUGUGACUGCACAGCUAGAGUAUGGCAGAGGGGGGUGGAAUUCCACGUGUAGCAGUGAGAUGCGUAGAGAUGUGGAGGAACACCGAUGGCGAAGGCAGCCCCCUGGGCCCAUACUGACGCUCAUGCACGAAAGCGUGGGGAGCGAACAGGAUUAGAUACCCCUGUAGUCCCUGUCUCUUAUAC